AACACAUGUUUGCAAUGAGAUCUAAGGACAACCUCACAACCAACCUGCUUACCCCCUGUCAAAAUGUUAUUGCCAUUAAAUGAAGCCCAGCAUCCUUAGAAGACUUACCUCUCCCAAUGGGGCUGUGGCUCCAGUCAAUGCACUGAUGUCUCCGAAGUAGGACUACACAAAAACCUACUAACCGGUGUUCAUCUUCUCGACUCUGCUUGGAGGAGUGAGCAAAGCGUCCUUCCCGAAUCUCCUCAGGAGCAUCGGAAUAUUGCUCUUUCAACUCCCGGAUGAUAGAACUACUGAGAGCUUUUUUCUUCGCCUGCUCCAACAUCUUCUUUUCUCGCUCCACUUCUGUUUCAUCUGGCACAGAGAAACAGCAACAGAGCAUCGUUAUCAGCAAUCUUCCCCAAUGGUGAAUCUACACCAAGGAUGGGCAAACUUGGGCCAGUAGGCGGUUAGGAAUUGUGAAAAUUGAUGUCCAAAACACCUGGAAGGCCCAAGUUUGCCCAUGCCUGAUCCACACCAUAGACUGAGUGCAGUUUGACACCCGUUUAACUGUCAUGGCUCAAUACUAUAGAAUCAUGGAGUUUGUGGUUUUACAAGGCUUUUUGUUUUCUCUGCCAAAGAGAGCUGGUCCCUCACCAAACUACAAAUCCCAGGAUUUUACAAAAUUUGUGGCAGUUCAAGUGGUAUCAAACCACAUUCACUCUACAGAGUAAAUGCACCUUGGAUUGAUGUCAGCAGGUUCUGGGCAUGGACAUUCAGUUGAUCACAGAAAUGCUUUUUAAACCCCUGAAUGCAGCUUGAGUCUCCCUUAUUCAAAAUGCUUGGAAUCAAAAUUGUUAAGAACUUUUUUGGAUGUUGGAAUAGCUCUUUUGAAAUAUACGUGCAUAAAUGAGAUUUCUUGGAGCUGGGACCCAAAUCUGAAUAUGAAAUUAAUUUAUGUUUCAUAGACAUCUUAUACACAGAGCCUAAGAAUAUCUCCUUUUUGUAAAAUGCUUAGGAUCAGAAAUGUUUGGGUUUUAUUUUUGGAUUUUGGAAAAUAUGUAUUGGCAGAUACACACACACACACACACACAUAAAUGAAAUUUUGUUCAACUGGGACCCAGGUCUGAAUUUUUAAAUUCAUUUAUGUUUCAUAGACCUCUAAAACACCAAGUCUGAAGAUAAUUUUACACACAACAUUUGUAAUAAUGCUGUGCAUAGACCCAAGUUUGUGUAUUGUGAACAGUCAGAAAGCAAAUGUGUCACUUUCUUAGCCACCCUACUAACAAUUUUGAGAUAUUUCUGAAUUUCCGAUGAGGGGUGCUCGAGUUGAACUACCACCUCUCAUCAUCAAUACCGGUCAACCCACAACAAUUCAAGUACUUUACAUACUGUAAUGUACAGGCACCAGGCGAGGUGGGACAUAUUUCUUGCUCCCUCCUUUUGAUGCCCCUUUUGCAGAACGUUUUGCACCAUCAGCAGCUUCUUCAUCUUCCUCCUCUGAAUCACUGAGCUGUGAGUAAGGAGAAGACAAGAACUGUGCCAUAAUUUCCAAGAGUCAUUUCUAAUAGUAAACCAGUGAAAUCUAGGGAUCUCAAUUGAGUUUCAACAUCUCUUUUUAGCAUUUUAAGAUUAUUGUAAUACACUCUUCUGCAUCAUGUUUGGUUUAUUGUAUGGUGCCCUGAGAAUUUCAGAUAUCAAGAAGGGUAUAAAUAGUCGAUAUAAAUGCAUAAGCAUCUCAGACCAGGGCUUCUUAAACCUUUGCCAGUCACAACCCAUUCCACCCGAGAAAUGUUUAUGUGACCUCAGAUAUUUAGGUAUCUCAAACAGAUAUACAAAUCAAAUAUUUACUGAUAAUAAAUCAGCAUUUGCAAGGCUUGUUAAACAGGCAGAUUUGCCUUUUGUGAAAUACAGUUGAAGCAUCUUCUGUAGAACCCACUGCACAUUGUUGCUAACAAAUCUGUGUAAACAAGUGGCAUUCAGAAGCCUUUUAUUAUUGCAAUUUUUUUUUUACUCCCAACAAUGGGGCCGGGCUGUGGCGCAGCUGGCUAGUAACAAGCUGCUAUAAAUCACUACUGACCGAGAGGUCAUGACUUCGAAGCCCGGGUCGGGUUAAGCCUCCAGCCAUUAGAAAAAAAAAUAGCCCCGGCUUGCUGUUGACCUAGCAGCCCCGAAAGACAGUUGCAUCUGUCAAGUAGGGAAAAUUUAGGUACGCUUUAUGCGGGAGGCUAAUUUAACUAAUCUACAACACCAUAAAACUGCUCACGAGGAAAAGAAUGAGGAAGAACAGCCACCAAUGGACGGUGAAGCAACAGCUCCCCCUGUGGCCGGAAUCGUGAACCUGGAAAGAUGUUAAAAUGCCUCUGUGUCUAUCUAAAACUGAAUGUUGUUUGUCUGUUGGCAUUGAAUGUUUGCCAUAUAUGUGUUCAUUGUAAUCCGCCCUGAGUCCCCUUCGGGGUGAGAAGGGCGGAAUAUAAACUCUGUAAAUAAAUAAAUAAAUAAAUAAACAAUGA